AACGCACCUUGCGCUCCUUGGUAUUCCGAGGAGCAUGCCUGUUUGAGUGUCAUUAAUAUAUAUAUCAAACCUUCUCUUUGUUGAGCGGUUUUGGAUGUGGGGGUUUGCUGGCCUCUUAAAAAGGUUCAGCUCCUCUGAAAUGCAUUAGCAGAACAAACCUGUUCAUUGGUGUGAUAACUAUCUACGCUAUUGAAUGUAAGGGGCAGUUCAGCUCUCUAAUGGUCCUCGGACAAUUCAUCAUUAAUGUGACCUCAAAUCAGGUAGGACUACCCGCUGAACUUAA
rnacentral:misc_RNA from 1 species